rnacentral:rRNA from 1 species
GACGAACGCUGGCGGCGUGCUUAACACAUGCAAGUCGAACGGUGAAGCGCCUUCCUUUUUGGUGGGUGUGGAUGAGUGGCGAACGGGUGAGUAACACGUGAGUAACCUGCCCCCUUCUGCUGGAUAACCGCAUGAAAGUGUGGCUAAUACGGGAUAUUCUGGGUCUGUCGCAUGAUGGGUCUGGGAAAGAUAUUGUUUCGGUGGGGGAUGGGCUCGCGGCCUAUCAGCUUGUUGGUGGGGUGAUGGCCUACCAAGGCGGUGACGGGUAGCCGGCCUGAGAGGGUGGACGGUCACGCUGGGACUGACACACGGCCCACACUCCGACGGGAGGCAGCGGUGGGGAAUCUUGCACGAUGGGCGCAUGCCUGAUGCAGCGACGCCGCGUGAGGAUGGUGGCCUUCGGGUUGUGAACCUCUUUCGCCAGUGAAGCAGGCCUGCCUCGUUUGUGGGUGGGUUGACGGUAGCUGGACAAGAAGCGCCGGCUAACUACGUG